rnacentral:rRNA from 1 species
GGUUAAGCGACUAAGCGUACACGGUGGAUGCCCUGGCAGUCAGAGGCGAUGAAGGACGUGCUAAUCUGCGAUAAGCGUCGGUAAGGUGAUAUGAACCGUUAUAACCGGCGAUUUCCGAAUGGGGAAACCCAGUGUGAUUCGUCACACUAUCAUUAACUGAAUCCAUAGGUUAAUGAGGCGAACCGGGGGAACUGAAACAUCUAAGUACCCCGAGGAAAAGAAAUCAACCGAGAUUCCCCCAGUAGCGGCGAGCGAACGGGGAGCAGCCCAGAGCCUGAAUCAGUGUGUGUGUUAGUGGAAGCGUCUGGAAAGGCGCGCGAUACAGGGUGACAGCCCCGUACACAAAAAUGCACAUACUGUGAGCUCGAUGAGUAGGGCGGGACACGUGGUAUCCUGUCUGAAUAUGGGGGGACCAUCCUCCAAGGCUAAAUACUCCUGACUGACCGAUAGUGAACCAGUACCGUGAGGGAAAGGCGAAAAGAACCCCGGCGAGGGGAGUGAAAAAGAACCUGAAACCGUGUACGUACAAGCAGUGGGAGCACGCUUAGGCGUGUGACUGCGUACCUUUUGUAUAAUGGGUCAGCGACUUAUAUUCUGUAGCAAGGUUAACCGAAUAGGGGAGCCGAAGGGAAACCGAGUCUUAACUGGGCGUUAAGUUGCAGGGUAUAGACCCGAAACCCGGUGAUCUAGCCAUGGGCAGGUUGAAGGUUGGGUAACACUAACUGGAGGACCGAACCGACUAAUGUUGAAAAAUUAGCGGAUGACUUGUGGCUGGGGGUGAAAGGCCAAUCAAACCGGGAGAUAGCUGGUUCUCCCCGAAAGCUAUUUAGGUAGCGCCUCGUGAAUUCAUCUCCGGGGGUAGAGCACUGUUUCGGCAAGGGGGUCAUCCCGACUUACCAACCCGAUGCAAACUGCGAAUACCGGAGAAUGUUAUCACGGGAGACACACGGCGGGUGCUAACGUCCGUCGUGAAGAGGGAAACAACCCAGACCGCCAGCUAAGGUCCCAAAGUCAUGGUUAAGUGGGAAACGAUGUGGGAAGGCCCAGACAGCCAGGAUGUUGGCUUAGAAGCAGCCAUCAUUUAAAGAAAGCGUAAUAGCUCACUGGUCGAGUCGGCCUGCGCGGAAGAUGUAACGGGGCUAAACCAUGCACCGAAGCUGCGGCAGCGACGCUGAUGCGUUGUUGGGUA